CGGGAUUUGGGGGUGGGAAUGGGGUGGAGCACGAGGGGCUGGAGCGGCCCGGGAGGAUGCACUGGGAACCCCAAAUCCCGGCGCCGGUGUCCGAGGCCACGGAGACGGUGAUCUGCGCCCUGGGAUUGGCCGUCGGGAUCGUCGGCAUCGCCGCCGGCACCAUCCUCAUCAUCAAGGGGAUGAAGCUCGGCCGCGCCCGCGUGGAGCGCGGGAUGCUCUGAGGGGCGCGUCCCAAAAUGCCCCGGAAUUCCCCCAAAUCCAUCCCGAAAUCCCCAUGGAAGUUCCUGCCCCUUUUCCCUUGGAAUUCCCUCCAAAUGCUCUCGAAAUUCCAGCUGAGAUUCCCUGAAAGUUCACCUAAAAUCCACCCCCGAGUCGCUGCCCAGAUUCCAGUCAAGAUUCCCUGAAAAUUCAUGUAAAAUCGGCCCGAAAUUCCUUGGAAAUCUACCCAAAAUUCAUCCAAAAUUGGGCCAAAAUUCCACCGAAAAUUCAGCCCAAAUUCCAUCAAAAAUUCAGCCAAAUUCCACCCAAAAUUCCCAUAAAAUCCCCUCAAAAUUCCACCCAAAAUUCCUUUAAAUUCCCCUCAAAAUUCCAUCUAAAAUCGGCCCAAAAUUCCCUGGAAAUCCACCCAAAAAUUCAUCCAAAAUUGGGCCAAAAUUCCACCAAAAAUUCACCCCAAAUUCCAUCAAAAUUCACCCCAAAUUCCACCCAAAAUUCCCAUAAAUUCCCCUCAAAAUUCCAUCUAAAAUCGGCCCAAAAUUCCCUGGAAAUCCACCCAAAAUUCAUCCAAAAUUGGGCCAAAAUACCACCAAAAAUUCACCCCAAAUUCCAUCAAAAAUUCACCCAAAAUUCCAUCAAAAAUUCACCCAACUUCCACCCCAAAUGCCCUUAAAUUCCCCUCAAAAUUCCAUCUAAAAUCGGGCUAAAAUUCUGUGAAAAUCCACCCAAAAUUCCUCCCAAAAUUGGCCCAAAAUUCCCUCAAAAUUCCGCCAAAAUUCCACAAAAAAUUCCCGUAAAAUCCCCUCAAAUUUCCACCCAAAAUCCACCUAAAAUUCCUGAAAAUUCCACCCAAAAUUCCACCAAAAAUUCCCUCAAAUUUCACCCAAAAUUCCUUUAAAAAUCCACUGCAAAUUCCACCCAAAAUUCAUCCAAAAUUCCACCCAAAAUUCCCUGAAAAAUCCACCCAAAAUUCCCUCAAAUUCCCCUCAAAAUUCCCUUAAAUUCCCCUCAAAAUUCCAUCCAAAAUUCCCCUUAAAAUCCCUCCAGUUCCACCCAAAAUUCCACCCAAAAUCGGCCUAAAAUUCCCUGAAAAAUUCCCUGAAAAAUCCCCCCAAGACCCCCAAAAUUCCACCCAAAAUUCCACCAAAAUCGGCCUAAAUUCCCUGAAAAAUUCCCUGAAAAAUCCCCCCAAAAUUCCACCCAAAAUUCCCUUAAAAUCCACCCCAAAUUGGCCCCAAAUUCCCUCAAAAUUCCCUUAAAAUCCACCCAAAAUUCCCUUAAAAACCACCCAAAAUUCCCUGAAAAAUUCCCCAAAAUUCCCCAAAUUCCCCUCAAAUUCCCUUAAAUUCCCCUCAAAUUCCAUCCAAAAUUCCCUUAAAAUCCCUCCAGUUCCGCGCAAAAUUCCACCAAAAUUGGCCUAAAAUUCCCUGAAAAUUCCCUGAAAAAAUCCC